rnacentral:RNase_P_RNA from 1 species
UGAAGGCGACUUCAAGGAAAGUGCAACAGAAAUAAACCGCCUGCUUGGCAGGCAAGGGUGGAAAGGUGAGGCAAGAGCUCACCGGCAAUCCGGCGACGGAUUUGCGCUCUGUAAACCCCGCCCGGUGCAACACCGCAUAAAGGACAUAUAGGAUUGCCCGUCCGUCCUAAAGGUGGCUAAAGCAUUGCAGUAAUGCAAUGCGGAGAUAGAUGAUUGUUCAAGACAGAACCCGGCUUACAGACUUACUCGCCAU